AGAGUUUGAUCCUGGCUCAGGACGAACGCUGGCGGCGCGCCUAACACAUGCAAGUCGAACGGAGCUGAGAGGAGCUUGCUUUUCUUAGCUUAGUGGCGAACGGGUGAGUAACGCGUGAGUAACCUGCCCUGGAGUGGGGGACAACAGUUGGAAACGACUGCUAAUACCGCAUAAGCCCACGGCCCGGCAUCGGGCUGAGGGAAAAGGAUUUAUUCGCUUCAGGAUGGACUCGCGUCCAAUUAGCUAGUUGGUGAGGUAACGGCCCACCAAGGCGACGAUUGGUAGCCGGACUGAGAGGUUGAACGGCCACAUUGGGACUGAGACACGGCCCAGACUCCUACGGGAGGCAGCAGUGGGGAAUAUUGCACAAUGGGGGAAACCCUGAUGCAGCGACGCCGCGUGGAGGAAGAAGGUUUUCGGAUUGUAAACUCCUGUCGUUAGGGACGAUAAUGACGGUACCUAACAAGAAAGCACCGGCUAACUACGUGCCAGCAGCCGCGGUAAAACGUAGGGUGCAAGCGUUGUCCGGAAUUACUGGGUGUAAAGGGAGCGCAGGCGGACCGGCAAGUUGGAAGUGAAAACUAUGGGCUCAACCCAUAAAUUGCUUUCAAAACUGCUGGCCUUGAGUAGUGCAGAGGUAGGUGGAAUUCCCGGUGUAGCGGUGGAAUGCGUAGAUAUCGGGAGGAACACCAGUGGCGAAGGCGGCCUACUGGGCACCAACUGACGCUGAGGCUCGAAAGUGUGGGUAGCAAACAGGAUUAGAUACCCUGGUAGUCCACACCGUAAACGAUGAUUACUAGGUGUUGGAGGAUUGACCCCUUCAGUGCCGCAGUUAACACAAUAAGUAAUCCACCUGGGGAGUACGACCGCAAGGUUGAAACUCAAAGGAAUUGACGGGGGCCCGCACAAGCAGUGGAGUAUGUGGUUUAAUUCGAAGCAACGCGAAGAACCUUACCAGGUCUUGACAUCCCGA
rnacentral:rRNA from 1 species